UACAGAGGUCUCGAGCGUUGUUCGGAUUCAUUGGGCGUAAAGGGUGCGUAGGCGGCGCGGUAAGUCGGGUGUGAAAUCUCGGAGCUUAACUCCGAAACUGCAUUUGAUACUGUGGUGCUUGAGGACUGGAGAGGAGACUGGAAUUUACGGUGUAGCAGUGAAAUGCGUAGAGAUCGUAAGGAAGACCAGUGGCGAAGGCGGGUCUCUGGACAGUUCCUGACACUGAGGCACGAAGGCCAGGGGAGCAAACGGG
rnacentral:rRNA from 1 species